UGUAGACAGUUUAAAUUCACUGUUUUUAGGGACAAGAUUGAGUUCACCUAGGAAGCUCUGAACAGUACAUUUUCAUCUUCUGAUUUCAAAUGUGUAGGGACAGUUCGUUAAAGAGGUGAAAGUGUUUUCAGUCUGGAGUUACCUUUCUGUUCUCUUCUUUUGCAGAUAUGAAGUGCAGAGACUCCCACUCAAGGCUUUCCAUUCUGUUUCCUGCAACAGCACACACUGAUGAUGUCUCGCCUGUUUUUUGGGAGGUUUUUUUUUUGGUACUGGGGGAUCAAACUCGGGACCUUCUGAUGGAAGGCGGUGAAACCGCUGAGCUAAAUCCCCGGCUCUCUUGCCUGUUUGGAAAUGGCUUGUGUUUUACUUUUAAUUCCUUGUCUCCCUAUCAAGACACAAGAAUCCCUUAGGGCGGGGGAUUUAGCUCAGUGGUUCCGCCGCCUGCCUCGCAAGCCCAAGGACCGGAGUUCGAUCCCCCGUACCAAAAAAAAAAAAAAAAGACAAAAGAAUCCCUUCUCACUUGGGAAAAAGCCAUUUAAAUCAUGUUGAAGGUGUGGUGUUUGGGGGAAAAAUGUGGAGCCUUUACAAUUGCUCUAUGUGGUUUUAACCUUGUUUUUUUUCUUUUAAUAAUUUUGGGUUGUUUUUUGCACUUUUGCUUUCAUAGUUAGAAAGCAGGAUACAAGUAUGCUUUCUACUGAUGUAUUUAUUUAAUAGCAAGAGAGACACUCCUGUGUAUGCUAUUGAAUCAAACAGAAGAGGAGGCCAGUGACUGUGUGAGAAUCUGAAUUUCAAAUCUGCAAAAGAAAGGUCCAAAAAGGUUUGGGCCCCAUGGGAUCCCCGUGACAGUAUUUCCCAAAAGGGAAUAUAAGGAUAAACCGGAAGCCAUGCAGCUCCCAAGUAAUACAUUCCAAGAAGGGACAGAAGUCAAGCUUGAGGCGAAUGGUGCUGUUCCCACUGACCCUUCUCCUGUCCCUGUCUCCCCUCCUGAGCCGAGUGUGGCGGAAAGUCUGUGGACGUCCAAACCACCACCUCUCUUCCACGCUGGAGCGCCUUACCCUCCCCCUUUGUUUAUCAGGGACACCUACAACCAAUCAAUACCUCAGCCCCCUCCUCGAAAAAUAAAGCGGCCCAAGCGAAAAAUGUACAGGGAAGAACCCACUUCGAUAAUGAAUGCUAUUAAGCUGCGACCCAGGCAAGUCUUGUGUGAUAAAUGCAAGAACAGUGUUGUUGCUGAGAAAAAGGAAAUCAGAAAAGGUAGCAGUGCAAGUGACCCUUCAAAAUAUGAAGAUAAAAAGCGGAGAAAUGAAAGUGUGGCUACUGUGAACAAAAAACUGAAAACUGAUCCUAAAGUGGAUGGGAAAAACCAAAACGAAAGCCAGAGAAGAAAUGCUGUGGUUAAGGUAUCAAGUAUUGCUCACAGUAGAGGCAGAGUAGUAAAAGUUUCUGCUCAGGCAAAUACAUCAAAAGCUCAGCUAAGUACUAAAAAAGUGCUCCAGAGUAAGAACAUGGAUCAUGCAAAAGCUCGGGAAGUAUUGAAAAUUGCCAAAGAAAAGGCACAAAAGAAGCAAAGUGAAACCUCUACUUCCAAAAAUGCACAUUCAAAAGUCCACUUCACACGGCGGUAUCAGAAUUCUAGCUCAGGUUCCCUCCCUCCUCGUGUUCGCUUAAAACCACAGCGGUACAGGAAUGAAGAAAAUGACUCCUCUCUGAAGACGGGACUCGAGAAAGUGCGGAGCGGCAAGGUGGCACCCAAGCCCCAGUCUCGCUGCACCUCCACCCGCUCAGCAGGUCUCAACAAAUGGCAGCUAUUACAUCAGACAGUGACGAGUCCUGCUGCUCCCUUACAGUGUCUGACAGACCACUGUGGAUUCAGACUGGGAGCAUUGAAGUUAACAGUGAAACGGGCAGGGUCCAAGAUUGAGAGGCAUAACCAAGGGUUGGUAAUACAGAGCACUGCAGUUGUGCUAUUUGGCAGCAUGUGCAUAGAGCCCUGCUUUUUGUUGAAGUACAGUGAAGAGUGCUCUGCCGAUGAUCAGCUUUGCUGGUAAACAAGGGACACAACAGCCGAUCUCACCAGUGUGU
rnacentral:lncRNA from 1 species